GCCGCCUUGGGGUAGUGGCAGCCCGCUGGACUUUCGAUCCGGAGGCACGGGUUCGACCCCCGUACGCGGUG
rnacentral:tRNA from 1 species